rnacentral:rRNA from 1 species
GACGAACGCUGGCGGCGUGCCUAACACAUGCAAGUCGAACGGAGAUUAUUGAUGAAGCUUGCGAUUUAAUAAUCUUAGUGGCGGACGGGUGAGUAACGCGUGAGAAACCUGCCUUUCACAAAGGGAUAGCCUCGGGAAACUGGGAUUAAUACCUUAUGAUACUUACAUUUCACAUGAGAAGUAAGUUAAAGCGCAAAGCGGUGAAAGAUGGUCUCGCGUCCCAUUAGUUAGUUGGUGAGGUAACGGCUCACCAAGACCGCGAUGGGUAGCCGGCCUGAGAGGGUGAACGGCCAC